rnacentral:lncRNA from 1 species
UCCUGCCUGCUGGAUCGUCUUCACGGCCACCACUGCCCUGCUCUUCAUCCCAGGUUGUUGAUUCCCAGCUCCAGCCUGGAUCUUUCCCAGCCUGGGAAUCUUUCUCAGAGACAAAACAAGGAAAGGUAGAAAGAAAACACAGCUAGACACCUGGAGUUGAGUGUGAGUGUCU